rnacentral:lncRNA from 1 species
CCAUGCCUUUCCUAUGUGGAUAAUCAGCAAAGCUGAGGACAUUGGGAAGCAACUCAGGAUUGCCAGUUUACAGCUCUUCUGGAUGUGCACUGGUUAAUGCAUGGAAUUCAGCAACAGCAGACUUUGUUCCUUUGAUGGAUCCAGAAGAUCGCCACAUCAAGGAAUAUGGUGGUAAAACUGCAAGAUAAUCUGCCACCCCUAACAACUAUAGAAGUUCUAAGGAUGUUAGAGACUCAUAGAGAGGAAUUCUAAUGGCCAUACUUGAACCGUUGCAGCAAUACACUCAGAAGAUUGGUGAAAGAAAAGAAAGACAUUUUGAAAGUGAUUUUCAAAAAACAGUUAAUCCAGAAUUCCAUAUUUAGCAAAAUUAUACUUCAAGAAUGAAUGUGACAUGAUAACGUC